GUAUUUCAAUUCUUUAGCCCAAUCCUACAAGAGUCAUGGUACUCAAUAAACAUGGUUUACGGAGGGAAAACUCUGAAGGCAAAAUUAAAACAAAUCUCAGCUUGUCAGGCUCCCACUUCAGGUUAUAAAACAGUAAGCAUACAAACUGGGAAGCAGUUACACACUUCUGUUUUCU